AACGAACGCUGGCGGCAUGCCUAACACAUGCAAGUCGAACGAGACCUUCGGGUCUAGUGGCGCACGGGUGCGUAACGCGUGGGAACCUGCACUUAGGUUCGGAAUAACUCCCCGAAAGGGGUGCUCAUACCGGAUAAUGUCUUCGGACCAAAGAUGUAUCGCCUUUGGAUGGGCCCGCGUUGGAUUAGCUAGUUGGUAGGGUAAUAGCCUACCAAGGCGACGAUCCAUAGCUGGUCUGAGAGGAUGAUCAGCCACACUGGGGCUGAGACACGGCCCAGACUCCUACGGAAGGGAGCAGUGGGGAAUAUAGGACGAGGGGCGAAAGCCUGAUAAAGCAAUGCCGGGUAAGUGAUGAAGGCGUUAGGGUUGUAAAGCUGUUUUACCCGGGAUGAUAAUGACAGUACCGGGAGAAUAAGCACCGGCUAACUCCGUG
rnacentral:rRNA from 1 species